rnacentral:rRNA from 1 species
AGUGAACGCUGGCGGUAGGCCUAACACAUGCAAGUCGAACGGCAGCACAGUAAGAGCUUGCUCUUACGGGUGGCGAGUGGCGGACGGGUGAGGAAUACAUCGGAAUCUACUUUUUCGUGGGGGAUAACGUAGGGAAACUUACGCUAAUACCGCAUACGACCUACGGGUGAAAGCAGGGGAUCUUCGGACCUGGGGGGAUGGAAGGAGCCGAUGUCGGAUUAGCUAGUUGGCGGGGUAAAGGCCCACCAAGGCGACGAUCCGUAGCUGGUCUGAGAGGAUGAUCAGCCACACUGGAACUGAGACACGGUCCAGACUCCUACGGGAGGCAGCAGUGGGGAAUAUUGGACAAUGGGCGCAAGCCUGAUCCAGCCAUACCGCGUGGGUGAAGAAGGCCUUCGGGUUGUAAAGCCCUUUUGUUGGGAAAGAAAAGCAGCAGGUUAAUACCCCGCUGUUCUGACGGUACCCAAAGAAUAAGCACCGGCUAACUUCGUG